rnacentral:rRNA from 1 species
GAUGAACGCUGACGGCGUGCCUAAUACAUGCAAGUCGAGCGAACGGACGAGAAGCUUGCUUCUCUGAUGUUAGCGGCGGACGGGUGAGUAACACGUGGAUAACCUACCUAUAAGACUGGGAUAACUUCGGGAAACCGGAGCUAAUACCGGAUAAUAUUUUGAACCGCAUGGUUCAAAAGUGAAAGACGGUCUUGCUGUCACUUAUAGAUGGAUCCGCGCUGCAUUAGCUAGUUGGUAAGGUAACGGCUUACCAAGGCAACGAUGCAUAGCCGACCUGAGAGGGUGAUCGGCCACACUGGAACUGAGACACGGUCCAGACUCCUACGGUAGGCAGCAGUAGGGAAUCUUCCGCAAUGGGCGAAAGCCUGACGGAGCAACGCCGCGUGAGUGAUGAAGGUCUUCGGAUCGUAAAACUCUGUUAUUAGGGAAGAACAUAUGUGUAAGUAACUGUGCACAUCUUGACGGUACCUAAUCAGAAAGCCACGGCUAACUACGUG